rnacentral:sRNA from 1 species
UGCUUUGCACACUUAACACACACACUUACCGGCACAGGCUUUCUGGGUGCUGCCUCUGGCAGUGGGAAGAUGGGGUAGGUGGAGGUUAAAC